rnacentral:sRNA from 1 species
CCUGGGUGCAGUGGUGCACGACUGUAAUCCCAGCUACUUGGGAGGCUGAGGCAGGAGGAUCACAAGUUUGAGACCAGCCUUAGCAACUUAGGGAGGGCUUAAGCAACAUAGAGAUAUCCUGUCUCAA